CAGAGUUCUCGCCCUUGCGGGUAGAUCUCCCACCCGAUGUUAUCGCUACUAUGUUGCUUUGGCGGGCUGCUAGGCCUAGCCUAGCCGCCGGCUCCGGCUGGUGUGCGCCCGCCAGAGGCCUGAUAAAUCCUGACUGUAAGUGUCGUCUGAGUACUACAUAAUAGUUA
rnacentral:misc_RNA from 1 species